UCUCACAGGUCCUUCUCCUGAGCUGGCUGAAGUGGAGGUGUGUUAAGCAUCCAAACAUCUCAAUGUUUCUCCAAGUGUCAGCAGGAACCUCAAGUGGUUUGAUUUUGGGUGUGUGCCAGCCAAGACAUGGAGCAUCCUCAUUUACUGAGGGCCAGUGACCCAAGCAGAGGAUGAAGGAAGCUCUGCUGUGAAACUCCAUGUACAGCUUUCAGAAUCCCCAGGGGUGCAUCUCCAGCUGCAGCAUGAGACCCUUAGCAUCUGCUCCCCCAGCUGAAAUCUCUGAUCGGUCUAUGAGGAUAGUUCCUGUUACUGCACUCCAAGAAGGGAUGUUAGAGGAGCUGUUCUUCCUAGUCCUGUUUUAUUUGGUGGUCUGCAGUGGAUGCUUCAACCCUCCAAGGAACCCCAUAUCCCAAGUAAGUGGCUGUUUGUGCGGUGAUCUCCAGGCAUUUUGAGCUCUACCCAACCCGCCAGUAUUUAUGGCGUGUCAGACUGCCUUUGACAGGGACUGCCCUUCCUCCAUCCCUCUCUCCCUCCCCCUUCUCUUGCCUGAGCAGCCUGUAGCAGUGACUCCAGCAUCCCCAUCCUUUGGAACAGCUUAGAGAUGCUCGGUAAUAUCCAUCAUCUCGCACAGAAGGUGCUGAUUCCUCUGACCCAUUAUCAAUCUAAAGGUUAGGUAUUCUAAUACUUUGAUUCACAUGAUGUUUUCGCUCAGUUCUGCCAUACCUGGCUUCAGCAGCUUAUCUCGGUCCCUCCCUCUCCAGCUAGAGGGAAUCUGAA